rnacentral:rRNA from 1 species
UGAGCAAUCUGCCCUUCUCUUCGGAAUAAGCGUUGGAAACGACGUCUAAUGCCGAAUACGACCUCCUUUCGCAUGNGUGGAGGAGAGCG